rnacentral:rRNA from 1 species
GAUGAACGCUGGCGGAGUGCCUAAUACAUGCAAGUCGAGCGAAGCGGGGACGGGUGAGUAACACGUGGCUAACCUCCUAUAAGACUGGGAUAACUUCGGGAAACCCGAGCUAAACCGGUUACUUAUCGAUGCUUCCGCGCUGCAUUAGCUAGUUGGUAAGGUACCGGCUUACCAGGGCAACGAUGCAUAGCCGACCUGAGAGGGUGAGCGGCCACACUGGAACUGAGACACGGUCCAGACUGCUACGGAAGGCAGCAGUAGGGAAUCGUCAGCAAUGGGCGGGAGCCUGACGGCGCAACACAGCGUGAGUGAUGAAGGUAUUCGGAUCGUAAGACUCUGUUAUUAGGGAAGCGGUACCUAAUCAGAAAGCCACGGCUAACUACGUGCCAGCAGCCGCGGUAAUUC